UUUAUGGAGAGUUUGAUCCUGGCUCAGGACGAACGCUGGCGGCGUGCCUAAUACAUGCAAGUCGAGCGGAGCUGAUGAGGUGCUUGCACUCCU
rnacentral:rRNA from 1 species